GAUGAACGCUGGCGGCGUGCCUAAUACAUGCAAGUCGAGCGAACAGACGCGGCUCUUGCUCCUCUGACGUUUGCCGCGGGCGUGUGUGACACAUGUGUAUACCCUCCCUAUCAGACUGGUAACACUUCGAGAAACCGGAGCUAAUCCCGUAUAAUAUAUUGCACCGCGUGGUUCAAUAGUGAAAGACGGUUUUGCUGUCUGUUAUAGAUGGUUCCGCGCCGGAUUGGGUGGUUGGUAAGGUAAAGGGUUACCAAGGCAACGAGGCGUAGACGACCGAAGGGGGUGAUCGGCCACACUGGAACGGGAACAGGGACCAUACUCCUGAGGGAGGCAGCAGUAGGGAAUCUUCCGCAAUGGGCGGAAGCCUGACGGAGCAACGCCGCGUGAGUGAUGAAGGUCUUGGGAUCGUAAAGCUGUGUUAUGAGUGAAGAACAGAUGUGUAAUGAACUAUGCCCGUAUUGACGGUACCUAGUCAGAAAGCAACGGCUAACUACGUG
rnacentral:rRNA from 1 species